rnacentral:rRNA from 1 species
UACGAAGGGGGCUAGCGUUGUUCGGAAUUACUGGGCGUAAAGCGCACGUAGGCGGAAUGUUAAGUCAGGGGUGAAAUCCCGGGGCUCAACCCCGGAACUGCCUUUGAUACUGGCAUUCUCGAGUCCGGAAAAGGUGAGUGGAAUUCCGAGUGUAGAGGUGAAAUUCGUAGAUAUUCGCAAGAACACCAGUGGCGAAGGCGGCUCACUGGUCCGGUACUGACGCUGAGGUGCGAAAGCGUGGGGAGCAAACAGG